AAAGAAAAAAAAAAGAAAAACCAAUUGCCAUCUUUUCUUCUCUCUUCACUCAAUCCACUGAAAUUCUAGACGAAGAGCCUUUCCUGUCGUCCUCCUCCGCCACCGCAGCCAACGAGAUAAAGUUUCGGCGGUUGCUAAAUGCUUAAAUAAGUGUUCGUAAAUUAGCAGCACUCUUUUAGGUUAUAGCGACACUCUUUAACUGUCACUAUAUACCUAGCGACCCCACAUAUAGCAACAUUUUUUCAAAGUGUCGGUAAUUUUAGCUAGCAGCACUUUUUUGACAUGUACCUACAUGUAAAAGUGUCGCUAUAGACCGUUUUUGUUGUAGUGCUAUUAGUAGCAAAAUUCUAUUAUUGCUACCAAUUUUUUAGCCUUUGGAUCAACUCUUUUUAUUAUUUCCAACCAUUUGAUUAAAUACUAUAAUCCAGUGGGGACCACUCAACCCAAGGGGGACCACUCAACUCUAACUGACUAAUAUCAUCCUAACCCUACAAUUUUUUAUCCAAGGGUUAAAAACUUGAUAGCAAAAAGAG
rnacentral:lncRNA from 1 species